GAUGAACGCUGGCGGCGUGCCUAAUACAUGCAAGUAGAACGCUGAAGCUUGGUGCUUGCACCGAGCGGAUGAGUUGCGAACGGGUGAGUAACGCGUAGGUAACCUGCCUCUUAGCGGGGGAUAACUAUUGGAAACGAUAGCUAAUACCGCAUAAAAGUCGAUAUCGCAUGAUGUUGAUUUGAAAGGUGCAAUUGCAUCACUAAGAGAUGGACCUGCGUUGUAUUAGCUAGUUGGUGAGGUAACGGCUCACCAAGGCGACGAUACAUAGCCGACCUGAGAGGGUGAUCGGCCACACUGGGACUGAGACACGGCCCAGACUCCUACGGGAGGCAGCAGUAGGGAAUCUUCGGCAAUGGGGGCAACCCUGACCGAGCAACGCCGCGUGAGUGAAGAAGGUUUUCGGAUCGUAAAGCUCUGUUGUAAGAGAAGAACGAGUGUGAGAGUGGAAAGUUCACACUGUGACGGUAACUUACCAGAAAGGACGGCUAACUAC
rnacentral:rRNA from 1 species